GCAGUAGCCGCGGGAAAACAGAGGGUGCGAGCGUUAAUCGGAUUUACUGGGCGUAAAGCGUGCGUAGGCGGCUUCUUAAGUCGGAUGUGAAAUCCCUGAGCUUAACUUAGGAAUUGCAUUCGAUACUGGGAAGCUAGAGUAUGGGAGAGGAUGGUAGAAUUCCAGGUGUAGCGGUGAAAUGCGUAGAGAUCUGGAGGAAUACCGAUGGCGAAGGCAGCCAUCUGGCCUAAUACUGACGCUGAGGUACGAAAGCAUGGGGAGCAAACAGGAUUAGAUACCCCGGUAGUCCCUGUCUCUUAUAC
rnacentral:rRNA from 1 species